AGCUUCCGGGUAUGUUAAUUGCUUUUUUAUCAUGAGGCAGAGAAUUUUGUCAACAUGUUGUAAUAAAAAGUCAAUUUUUAAAUAGGUUAGUAAUUGUAAAGAUGUCCAUCUAUUGCAUAGGGUUCUCUAAAUCAAUAAUCCAACGCAACUUAUACAACAGAUGGAUAGUAAGUUGUAACAUAACCAUUACCAGUUGCACCAGAAUACCGAGUUGUUACAAUAGAUUUCUUAUCUG
rnacentral:lncRNA from 1 species